rnacentral:rRNA from 1 species
CCUACGGUGGGCUGCAGUGAGGAAUAUUGGUCAAUGGUCGGGAGACUGAACCAGCCAAGCCGCGUGAGGGAGGAAGGUACAGAGUAUCGUAAACCUCUUUUGUCAGGGAACAAAGACUGGGACGCUUCCCCGGAUUAGUGUACCUGAAGAAAAAGCAUCGGCUAACUCCGUGACAGCAGCCGCGGUAAUACGGAGGAUGCGAGCGUUAUCCGGAUUUAUUGGGUUUAAGGGGUGCGAAGGCGGUCUGUUAAGUCAGCGGUCAAAGCCCGGGGCUCACCCCCGGCCCGCCGUUGAAACUGGUAGUCUCGAGUUGGAGAGAAGUAUGCGGAAUGCGCGGUGUAGCGGUGAAAUGCAUAGAUAUCGCGCAGAACUCCGAUUGCGAAGGCAGCAUGCCGGCUCCACACUGACGCUGAGGCACGAAAGCGUGGGUAUCGAACAGGAUUAGAUACCCUGGUAGUC